rnacentral:rRNA from 1 species
GCCUUACGUGGGGCAGCCGGCGGGAAAACUUUACAAUGAGGGCAAGCAUGAUAAGGGGACACCGAGUGCCAGCAACUAUUUGCGGCUGUCCCAGGGUUAAAAUUCACGGUGAAAGACGCC